CGAACGUCAACAGAAGAACGAUAUUUUGAAUUCUAAGCUUUUAUACACAGAAAUGCGGACUUUUGUAAUAAUAAUUUUAGCUGCAUUUGCUACAGCAGCUUUUGUGCAAGGAAAAUCAUUGAGGCGAAUCUGUGAAGAUACUAACAACAUUGAAAGCGAAGAGAGAUCAUUAUUAUGUAAAAUAAUCAAGGAAAAACUGAAUUGCGGUAGCUCGUCAUCUUCUGAGUCAUCAUCAUCAUCAUCAUCAUCGUCAGAAGAGGACAACGAUGACAAUACG